rnacentral:rRNA from 1 species
UACGGGGGGGGUAAGCGUUGUUCGGAAUUACUGGGCGUAAAGGGCUCGUAGGCGGCCAACUAAGUCAGACGUGAAAUCCCUCGGCUUAACCGGGGAACUGCGUCUGAUACUGGAUGGCUUGAAUCCGGGAGAGGGAUGCGGAAUUCCAGGUGUAGCGGUGAAAUGCGUAGAUAUCAGGAGGAACACCGGUGGCGAAGGCGGAUCUCUGGGCCAUUACUGACGCUGAGGAGCGAAAGCGUGGGGAGCGAACAGG